GAUGAACGCUGGCGGCGUGCUUAACACAUGCAAGUCGAACGGUGAAGCAGGAGCUUGCUCUUGUGGAUCAGUGGCGAACGGGUGAGUAACACGUGAGCAACCUGCCCCUGACUCUGGGAUAAGCGCUGGAAACGGCGUCUAAUACUGGAUAUGUGAUAUGACCGCAUGGUCUGCAUCUGGAAAGAAUUUCGGUUGGGGAUGGGCUCGCGGGCUAUCAGCUUGUUGGUGAGGUAAUGGCUCACCAAGGCGUCGACGGGUAGCCGGCCUGAGAGGGUGACCGGGCACACUGGGACUGAGACACGGACCAGACUCUUACGGGAGGCAGCAGUGGGGAAUAUUGCACAAUGGGCGGAAGCCUGAUGCAGCAACGCCGCGUGAGGGAUGACGGGCUUCGGAUUGUAAACCUCUUUUAGCAGGGAAGAAGCGAAAGUGACGGUACCUGCAGAAAAAGCACCGGCUAACUACGUGCCAGCAGCCGCGGUAA
rnacentral:rRNA from 1 species